rnacentral:misc_RNA from 1 species
GAAAUGCGAUAAGUAAUGUGAAUUGCAGAAUUCAGUGAAUCAUCGAAUCUUUGAACGCACAUUGCGCCCCUUGGUAUUCCGGGGGGCAUGCCUGUCCGAGCGUCAUUACACCAAUCAAGCACAGCUUGGCAUUGGGCACCACGUCUGCGCCCUCACGGGGGCAGGCGGGCCCGAAGAACCUUGACGGGGCCGCGAGAGGAACCGGGCGUAGCAGAAUCUGUCACGACGUCCGGGCAUCCGACCGCGAGCUCCACGCCGGAAGGGCGAAAGCACACAUCACAAGGUUGACCUCGGAUCAGGUAGGGAUACCCGCUGAACUUAA